CCUUUGAUGGGCGGGCGACUCUGGAGCUUGGCUCCUCCCUUGUGGGUUUCCAAGGGGCAUUUGGACAAUGCGUAAAAUAGCGGUGGAGGCUGGGCGUGAGCGAGUUAGCUCGGACCCCAACAGCGAUCCUGGCCAGGUGACCCUGCCUGCCCAAGAGUGAACUCAGAGCGGACCUUCGCUGAGCAGGUAAGAAAUCCUACCCCAUACUCAAGUAUCCAAAAGAAACAGAAGAGGAUGAACAGGAGAAAAGAAGGGUGCCUGGGUGGCUCAGACGUUGAGCAUCUGCCUUUGGUUCAAGUCAUGGUCCUGGAGUCCUGGAGUCCUGGCAUUGAGUCCUGCAUCAGGCUCUGUGCUCAGUGGUGAGCCUGCUAUUCCCGCUCCCUCUGCCUGCCACUCCCCCUGCUUGUGCGCUUGCUCUCUCUGUGUCAAAUAAAUAGAAUCUUUUUUAAAAUUAAAAAAGACUUAUUGUGCUAAGCCAAUAAAUUCAUAUUCAUAAAAAUAAUCCUUAUGCCAAUAGAUUUCUAGUGUCUAGAUUUCUAGACACUUUUUAAAAGGGACCUUAGCAGUGCCUAAGUGGCUCAGUUGGUUAAGCUUCUGACUCUUGAUUUCAGCUCAGGUCACGAUCUCAGCAUUGUGAGAUCGAGCCCGGCAGGCUCUGCACUCAGUGAAGAGUAUACUUGAGAUUCUCCCUCUCCCUCUGCCCAUUCCCCCAUGUGCACAUGGGCAUGUGCACUCUCUCUCUUUCUAAAAUAAAUAAAUCUUUAAAAAAUAAAAUGAAAACUUAAAAGGACCUUUAAUCAGAUCCAAAGGAAAAGCAACAUGGGACACCCAUUUUGAAUAACUAAUACAAAACAUGGCACAGGCUAUUCAUACUUAGCUCACAGAGCAAAAUAAAAGAGCCGACAGGAAAAGAAUAUAAACCAAACAGCAAUUAUCUUUCUUUUUUUUUUGACCCCUGAUCUCUCCCCCUGCUACUUUAAUUGCCCCCUUUUCUUCUACUCAAACUUAACAUGGCCAGAACGGCAGCUCUUCAUUUCUACCCAGAUCUAUCCUUCUCCCAGUCUUCUUAUCAGUAACCAGCACCAACAUUCCCCACACCAAAACUGUGGGGGCAUCAUCUCUGAUUUGCCUCCCUUCUUCCAACUAUCCACAACUACUGAGCCUUCACUCAUAAAGUACAACAGGUCCUCCUCGUUGGUCUCUGCUACCUGUUGGCUGUAGGAGCAGUCACCUACUACUAAAGCGGUCCUCUUAUGGUCUCCAUGCUUCCAUUCCUGUCCCACAUCCUUCACACAGUGGUCUGAGUGAUCUUUUUAUAAAAUGAACGAUGUCAUUUGACUCCCUGCUUAAACACUUAGAAUAAAAUUAAAAGCUCUGAGGUCUACAAGGCCCUACCUGAUAUACAACUUUUCCAACCGCAUCUCACACCAACCACUCCUUCCUUUCCUCACUAGCUUCACCCACACUAACUACCUCUCUGUUCAGCAAGCAUGCCAACUCCUUCUUUGUCUGGGCCUUUGCCCUUGCUGCUUCCCCUGCCUGGAAUGCCUGUGUUCUUCUUUACAUGGAAUGGUAGUUUAAAAGGGAGUUUUUGACACUCCCUUCAAGGGACUCACUUCCAACAAAAAGAAUAAGGCAGAAGUGACAAUGUGUAUUAUUUCUAAUACUAAGUCAUAAAUGGCAAUUUUUUAUACCUCAGUUGAAAGAAAAAAGUAAUAUUUUUUUAUUACUUUAUUACUAUUAUAUUGUAAGAGUCUUCUUAGAAGACUCACUCUAUGGCAUUGUUUCUCAACUUUUUUUACUGUGUACCUAAGAAGCCUUCUGGACAUUAUUUUCCUAAUAGUCCUCCAAUAAAAUUUUAAUGGCACAAACAUACUGUACAUCUGUUUAUGUAUCAUGAUUCUUCAGGAGGCUACAAACCAUUGUAAAAUCUGAAGGUUUUCUGCUCUCCACCUCAAGAACCAGUUUUCACCCUCUUGGCAGCCAUUAUUGGCCCCACUGAGAAUGAAUGCUACAGGAGAAGCCAGCUGCCAAUGUUGUGAGGAAUCUCAAGUAGUACUAUGGAAAGAUCCACCAAAUGGGAAAGUGAGGUCUCCUGCCAACAGCCAGUGAGAAGAAAGUCUGUUGCUAAUAGUGAUGUGAGUGAGAAUUCUUGGAAGUAUAUCAUUCAGUUGACUUCAGCCCCACCCUAUAUUUUGACUAGAACCUAUGACAAAUCCUAAUCUAGAGUAAGUAAGAUGCCUGGCUCUUAAAAAACUGAUAAAAAAGAUAUUUAUUCAAGCCAUUAUAUUUUGUGGUAAUUUGUCACACAGCAACAGAAAACUCAUUUAGACCUUGGUACCUGAAAGUAGGGUGCUGCCACACCAAAAAUCUAAAAUACGGAAGAGGCUCUGGAAUCAGGCAGUGGAUGGCAGAUGGCAGGUCUUUGAGCUAAAAGCUAAAAAAAUCUUGAAAAAACUGUUUAUAGAAGGAAGCUGUGGGUCACAGCUUAGAGUAAAGUGAGGAAAACCUUAUUGGAAACUGGAGAUAAGAAAAUCCUUGUUUUGUACUGGCAAAAAAAAAUUAGCAACACUGUCACCUGUGGGAACACAGAAAGUAGAAAAUGUACCUAACGAGGUGUGGGUUCGAACUAAAGGAGAUUUCCAGACAAAAUACUGAAGGUACUUGCUGGCCUCUUGCUGCUUAUACUAAAAUACAAGAGCAAAGACAAAGGAUGUGAUUGUAAAAUCCUUUGUUAAAACUCACA